CAGCAGCCGCGGUAAUACGUAAGGAGCGAGCGUUGUCCGGAUUCACUGGGCGUAAAGCGCUCGUAGGCGGCUCCUUAAGUCUCACGUGAAAGCCCCCGGCUCAACCGGGGAGGGUCGUGGGAAACUGGGGAGCUUGAGGGCAGGAGAGGAGAGUGGAAUUCCCGGUGUAGCGGUGAAAUGCGUAGAUAACGGGAGGAACACCAGUGGCGAAGGCGGCUCUCUGGUCUGUCCCUGACGCUGAGGAGCGAAAGCCAGGGGAGCGAACCGGAUUAGAUACCCGGGUAGUCCUGGCUGUAAACGAUGGGUACUAGGUGUGGGAGGUUCGACCCCUUCCGUGCCGCAGCUAACGCAUUAAGUACCCCGCCUGGGGAGUACGGCCGCAAGGUUGAAACUUAAAGGAAUUGGCGGG
rnacentral:rRNA from 1 species